AAAUGUUCCUGAGAGAGUUCCCCUACCUCCUCCUACAUAUGGUGCAGCAUCUUUCAACAGCUCAAAACCUUCCCAUUCUACCAGUUUCCAAUAUGGUGCAACAUCUUUCAGCAGCUCAAAACCUUCUAAUCCCACCAGUUUCCAACCAAGCGUCCCUCCUCAUCCUGAAGAUAGUAGUUCUGUCAGCUCAGCUCCCCCAGCUCCAAGUUCCACUUAUGAUAGCCAGGUAUGAGAAAUUUGAUGUAGUUGUUCAGUUGGCCCAUAUAUCUUCUAUAAUAACAGGCUGCAUUGGCAUUCCAUUUUUUGAACUGAAACCUGAAAUUG
rnacentral:lncRNA from 1 species